GAAAGAAUGGGGGUAGGGGUGGGAAGAGAGAGACUUGUGGAAUGAGCUGCUUGGCAGAACCAAGUUUCAGCAGGGGGAACCAAAUGUUGAAGCCCUGCCCCCCACCAUAGCGUAUUUGGACAUGGCGCCUUUGAAAACCUUCUCAACGAGACUUCAAGGCAUGCGUCACACUUUGCAUUUCUUUUUGCAUUUAAGGAGACCAGAGCUCCACAAAUGGUGCAUGGUAAAGCCUGGUUUUGACCUCAGAAAUCUGUCUUCCCCUGUGGAAGGCCAUUGUCAGGCCUGCUCUACGGAAAUAUCUGACAGCCCAAUGGGAAAGCAGGG
rnacentral:lncRNA from 1 species